AGAGUUUGAUCAUGGCUCAGAACUAACGCUGGCGGCGUGCCUAAUACAUGCAAGUCGAACGCGAAAGUCUUCGGAUGAGUAGAGUGGCGCACGGGUGAGUAACACGUGGGUAAUCUGCCUAGAGAUGGGGAAUAACUCCUCGAAAGAGGAGCUAAUACCGCAUAAGACCACAGCAUCUACGGAUGCAGGGGUUAAAAGUGAUCACUGUUUACAUAUUAUUGUCUCUAGAUGAGCCUGCGCACUAUUAGCUAGUUGGUGGGGUAAUGGCCUACCAAGGCAACGAUAGUUAGCUGGUCUGAGAGGAUGAUCAGCCACACUGGAACUGAGACACGGUCCAGACUCCUACGGGAGGCAGCAGUAGGGAAUAUUGCUCAAUGGGGGAAACCCUGAAGCAGCAACGCCGCGUGAGUGAUGAAGGCCUUCGGGUCGUAAAGCUCUGUUGUACGGGGCGAAUGCCGUCAUGGCUAAUAUCCAUGGCGAGUGACAGUACCGUAUAAGAAAGGACCGGCUAACUUCGUGCCAGCAGCCGCGGUAAGACGGGGGGUCCAAGCGUUGUUCGGAAUCAUUGGGCGUAAAGCGUGUGCAGGUGGUCUUGUAGGUUGGAUGUGAAAGCCCCGGGCUUAACCCGGGAAGUGCAUUCAAAACUGCAAGACUUGAGUAUGGAAGAGGCGUGGAAUUCCAGGUGUAGUGGUGAAAUACGUAGAUAUCUGGAGGAACACCGGUGGCGAAGGCGGCGACCUGGUCCUAUACUGACACUCAUACACGAAAGCGUGGGGAUCAAACAGGAUUAGAUACCCUAGUAGUCC
rnacentral:rRNA from 1 species